GAUGAACGCUGGCGGCGUGCCUAAUACAUGCAAGUCGAGCGAACGGACGAGAAGCUUGCUUCUCUGAUGUUAGCGGCGGACGGGUGAGUAACACGUGGAUAACCUACCUAUAAGACUGGGAUAACUUCGGGAAACCGGAGCUAAUACCGGAUAAUAUUUUGAACCGCAUGGUUCAAAAGUGAAAGACGGUCUUGCUGUCACUUAUAGAUGGAUCCGCGCUGCAUUAGCUAGUUGGUAAGGUAACGGCUUACCAAGGCAACGAUGCAUAGCCGACCUGAGAGGGUGAUCGGCCACACUGGAACUGAGACACGGUCCAGACUCCUACGGGAGGCAGCAGUAGGGAAUCUUCCGCAAUGGGCGAAAGCCUGACGGAGCAACGCCGCGUGAGUGAUGAAGGUCUUCGGGUCGUAAAACUCUGUUAUUAGGGAAGAACAUAUGUGUAAGUAACUGUGCACAUCUUGACGGUACCUAAUCAGAAAGCCACGGCUAACUACGUGCCAGCAGCCGCGGUAAUACGUAGGUGGCAAGCGUUAUCCGGAAUUAUUGGGCGUAAAGCGCGCGUAGGCGGUUUUUUAAGUCUGAUGUGAAAGCCCACGGCUCAACCGUGGAGGGUCAUUGGAAACUGGAAAACUUGAGUGCAGAAGAGGAAAGUGGAAUUCCAUGUGUAGCGGUGAAAUGCGCAGAGAUAUGGAGGAACACCAGUGGCGAAGGCGACUUUCUGGUCUGUAACUGACGCUGAUGUGCGAAAGCGUGGGGAUCGAACAGGAUUAGAUACCCUGGUAGUCCACGCCGUAAACGAUGAGUGCUAAGUGUUAGGGGGUUUCCGCCCCUUAGUGCUGCAGCUAACGCAUUAAGCACUCCGCCUGGGGAGUACGACCGCAAGGUUGAAACUCAAAGGAAUUGACGGGGACCCGCACAAGCGGUGGAGCAUGUGGUUUAAUUCGAAGCAACGCGAAGAACCUUACCAAAUCUUGACAUCCUUUGACAACUCUAGAGAUAGAGCCUUCCCCUUCGGGGGACAAAGUGACAGGUGGUGCAUGGUUGUCGUCAGCUCGUGUCGUGAGAUGUUGGGUUAGGUCCCGCAACGAGCGCAACCCUUAAGCUUAGUUGCCAUCAUUAAGUUGGGCACUCUAAGUUGACUGCCGGUGACAAACCGGAGGAAGGUGGGGAUGACGUCAAAUCAUCAUGCCCCUUAUGAUUUGGGCUACACACGUGCUACAAUGGACAAUACAAAGGGCAGCGAAACCGCGAGGUCAAGCAAAUCCCAUAAAGUUGUUCUCAGUUCGGAUUGUAGUCUGCAACUCGACUACAUGAAGCUGGAAUCGCUAGUAAUCGUAGAUCAGCAUGCUACGGUGAAUACGUUCCCGGGUCU
rnacentral:rRNA from 1 species